rnacentral:rRNA from 1 species
GGGGAAUAUUGCGCAAUGGGGGAAACCCUGACGCAGCAAUACCGCGUGAGAGAAGAAGGUUUUCGGAUCGUAAAACUCUUUUAUUGGGGAAGAAGAAGUGACGGUACCCAAUGAAGAAGUCCCGGCUAACUACGUGCCAGCAGCCGCGGUAAUACGUAGGGGGCAAGCGUUGUCCGGAAUCACUGGGCGUAAAGGGCGCGUAGGCGGUUUUAUAAGUCAGAUGUGAAAGGUCCCGGCUCAACCGGUGACGUGCAUUUGAAACUGUAAGACUUGAGUACAGGAGAGGCAAGUGGAAUUCCUAGUGUAGCGGUGAAAUGCGUAGAUAUUAGGAGGAACACCAGUGGCGAAGGCGGCUUGCUGGACAGAUACUGACGCUGAGGCGCGAAAGC